rnacentral:lncRNA from 1 species
UGAGGUGUGGGGAACACUGGGUCUGUCUUACUGUGUUGAGGUGUGGGGAACACUGGGUCUGUCUUACUGUGUUGAGGUGUGGGGAACACUGGGUCUGUCUUACUGUGUUGAGGUGUGGGGAACACUGGGUCUGUCACUGUGUUGAGGUGUGGGGAACACUGGGUCUGUAGUCUGUCUUACUGUGUUGAGGUGUGGGGAACACUGGGUCUGUAGUCUGUGUUGAGGUGUGGGGAACACUGGGUCUGUAGUCUGUGUUGAGGUGUGGGAAACACUGGGUCUGUAGUCUGUUGAGGUGUGGGGAUCACUGGGUCUGUAGUCUGUCUUACUUUGUUGAGGUGUGGGGAACACUGGGUCUGUAGUCUAUCUUACUGUGUUGAGGUGUGGGGAACACUGGGUCUGUAGUCUGUCUUACUGUGUUGAGGUGUGGGGAACACUGGGUCUGUAGUCUGUUGAGGUGUGGGGAUCACUGGGUCUGUAGUCUGUGUUGAGGUGUGGGGAACACUGGGUCUGUAGUCUGUCUUACUGUGUUGAGGUGUGGGGAACACUGGGUCUGUAGUCUAUCUUACUGUGUUGAGGUGUGG